rnacentral:lncRNA from 1 species
GAGGAGGAGGGGUGCGCCUCAGGCGAGAGCUGGCCGGCGCCGACCCGGCCUGGGGCAGCGGCCGCAGCUCCCCGCCCGGGACCGCGCAAAAAGGCCCAAGGUCCCGGGCCGCACUCACCGAAGUCCAGGAACUGCUUCAUGGAGAGCGGGGACGGCGAGAAGCGCGCGUAGAAGUCCACCUGGCCCGGAACGCCGCGCUCGGACGCCGGGCUGGAGCCCGAGUCCGAGCUGAAGCUGCGGCUGAAGCCGGCGGCGCGCAGCCCCGGGCCCGGGCCGGCCAAGGCGGCUCCGCGAAGCAGCCGCGCCAGCCUCAUGCCGAGUCCCGCUAGAGAAGCCACAGCCAGUACGCCAGGUUUCCCCGCGCCUCUGCCGAGUGGGUUGAAGGCAAAUACUUGAAGUUGCAAUCGAAGGUCAAGAAAAUGGAAUCAAGAGGUCACAAUCCUUCUCUGAUGAUGGCUUAGAAAGCUGGAAGACACUCAACAUUGAAUCCUGGGGCUCUGUGCCAUGCUUGCUAGGAGAAACAGCCACCAUGAGUCCAUCUUUCAGAUCUCAAGUGAACAGCAUGGUAUCGGGGAACACUGUCAUCGUACCUAGAGCGUUUAAAGAAUCCACACUAGAGAAGAGGGAAAGAGAAAGAGAAACAAAUUAAUCUCACAAAGAAGCAAAUACACUAAAUGGGAAUGUCUAAGCUUUCUGUUCAGCUAUGUCUACCUCUGGACUAAGGGGAAAAAGACAUGGUUUUCUUUUAAGAAAGAACCAAGAGGCUGAAAUGAAAGAAGAGCCAGUGGGGAUCAACGGAAGAGAACAGCUGUAAAACUGGAAGAAAAGUCCAUUUUCAUCUUCUCUUUACAUUUUAUAACAAAUGUAGGCUACCUCUUUACUAACAAUUUAAGAGUUUAUGAAAACAGUGCUUCCAUAUUUAAAAAUAAUCACAAUAUGAUAUGUAAAAUAUCUGAUUAUCAGAUUAGAUUAAGAAUAAUUUUUAAAUGGCAUAAACCAAAGAUUAUUUCAUGCCCCUUUCCCACUAAUAAAAUGCAAAUCAUGUCACAAGUAUUUUACAAAUUACUAUUUGAAUAUGCCAGUGUUCCAACAGGUCAACUUUAUAAUCUUUUUCUCUCCUCUGAGGCUCUAGUACACAUAUCACUUCUCUCAUUAGCCAGGAGGUCAUUUAUGUUGCCUGGAUUUGCUAUUGUGCUUCUAAUUAAGCUAUUUCAUUAAUCACAUAGUAACUGUUUCCUGCAAUAAAAAUCAUGUGCUGCAUAGGACUUCAGAAGUGCAUCACUACACUGAAUUUCAGAGCACUCCCUAAUUUCUCUUCUUUUGCAAAAAUACAUUUACCUUUAAACUGUUAAUGUGUGUGUUUAUAUAUAUAUAUAAAAUUCAUUUAAAUAGUCAA